AUCUAGCCCCGAUAACAGCGGCAUUUUUUGUGGUGGUGUUCACCACAAAAGAUACAGCGGAUAGCGGGACUAAAG
rnacentral:sRNA from 1 species